rnacentral:rRNA from 1 species
CAACCCGGGAUUGCCUUAGUAACGGCGAGUGAAGCGGCAAAAGCUCAAAUUUGAAAUCUGGUACCUUCGGUGCCCGAGUUGUAAUUUGGAGAGGGCAACUUUGGGGCCGUUCCUUGUCUAUGUUCCUUGGAACAGGACGUCAUAGAGGGUGAGAAUCCCGUGUGGCGAGGAGUGCGGUUCUUUGUAAAGUGCCUUCGAAGAGUCGAGUUGUUUGGGAAUGCAGCUCUAAGUGGGUGGUAAAUUCCAUCUAAAGCUAAAUAUUGGCGAGAGACCGAUAGCGAACAAGUACAGUGAUGGAAAGAUGAAAAGAACUUUGAAAAGAGAGUGAAAAAGUACGUGAAAUUGUUGAAAGGGAAGGGCAUUUGAUCAGACAUGGUGUUUUGUGCCCUCUGCUCCUUGUGGGUAGGGGAAUCUCGCAUUUCACUGGGCCAGCAUCAGUUUUGGUGGCAGGAUAAAUCCAUAGGAAUGUAGCUUGCCUCGGUAAGUAUUAUAGCCUGUGGGAAUACUGCCAGCUGGGACUGAGGACUGCGACGUAAGUCAAGGAUGCUGGCAUAAUGGUUAUAUGCCGCCCGUCUUGAACCCCGGGACC